rnacentral:rRNA from 1 species
CCUACGGGGUGCAGCAGUCGAGAAUCAUUCACAAUGGGGGAAACCCUGAUGGUGCGACGCCGCGUGGGGGAAUGAAGGUCUUCGGAUUGUAAACCCCUGUCAUGUGGGAGCAAAUUAAAAAGAUAGUACCACAAGAGGAAGAGACGGCUAACUCUGUGCCAGCAGCCGCGGUAAUACAGAGGUCUCAAGCGUUGUUCGGAAUCACUGGGCGUAAAGCGUGCGUAGGCUGUUUCGUAAGUCGUGUGUGAAAGGCGCGGGCUCAACCCGCGGACGGCACAUGAUACUGCGAGACUAGAGUAAGGGAGGGGGAACCGGAAUUCUCGGUGUAGCAGUGAAAUGCGUAGAUAUCGAGAGGAACACUCGGGGCGAAGGCGGGUUCCUGGACAUUAACUGACGCUGAGGCACGAAGGCCAGGGGAGCGAAAGGGAUUAGAUACCCUGGUAGUC